CCACUCCUGUUCAUAUGUCCCGGCGAGACGUCACGGGCUGAGCGUGCGUGUCUGUGUCUGCAGAGGAUGGCUCAGUGCUCAGGUGCAGGCGCCAGGCGUAGGGAGCCAGCUGAGGAGGCAGGACCGCUUUCUUUACCCACAAGGCAGAGCUCUCUGCUGGACUGAGGGCUGGAGCUUGAGCGCCUUCUUGAACCUCCAACCACAGGACUAUUGAGCUGCUCCAUUGAGCUGCUUCAUUAGAAUAACGGCACCUUUUCUCGACUGUGGAUCAUAUGAAUAGACAGUUUUGUAUUUGCUGUAAUUGGUUGCGUGUUUUUGCACUUUGAAUGUUGACCAGUUGCCUUCUCAAACGUGGACCCUGAGGACUAUGUGCCGUCUCCAUCCUGCCAAUCAACUGGACCUUUGCAUUCGCUCGCUGUGGAUAACUGCUGAGGAAGCUAUGGCACAAAGGAAGUAGUGGACCCUCAGAGAGAGGAGACGAUCCCCAGACGAUCUAUCGUCACUCCUGUCUGACAAAGGAGAGGAGGAAUAAACAUUAAAAAGACCGUAAGGAGCUGGAAGAGGCUAAAGAGGAGGCUGUGGGUCCACGCCGCAUCCCCUCCAUCCACCCCACCUGUGAGGAUUUAAUCAGCCCGGAGCAGCAUGGCGCAUGCCGCCUCGCAGCUGAAGAAGAAGGCGGACGAGAACCUCGCUGCAGAGGAGGAGAAGGAGCGGGAGAAGGAGAAGAAGAGGGCGAGGAAGCGUUCGCGCGAGGUCAAGAAAAAGACCGACGUCAACGCCUGUUACCUGCGAGCAGCUCGGGCCGGGAACCUAGAGAAAGCCUUGGACUACCUGAAGAAUGGGGUGGACAUCAACAUCUGCAAUCAGAACGGCCUGAAUGCGCUCCAUCUGGCCUCCAAGGAGGGCCACGUGGAGGUGGUGGCUGAGCUCAUCAAGCAGGGCGCCAACGUGGACGCAGCCACCAAGCAGAAAGGAAACACGGCCCUGCACAUAGCGUCGCUCGCCGGUCAGACAGACGUGGUGAAGGAGCUCGUCACACACGGCGCCAACGUCAAUGCCCAGUCUCAGAAUGGCUUCACUCCUCUGUACAUGGCGGCGCAGGAGAACCACCUGGAGGUGGUGCAGUUCCUACUGGACCACGGGUCGAGUCAGAGCAUCGCCACGGAGGACGGCUUCACCCCGCUGGCGGUGGCGCUGCAGCAGGGCCACGACCAGGUGGUUUCGCUGCUGCUGGAGAACGACACCAAGGGGAAGGUGCGUCUGCCGGCGCUGCACAUCGCCGCCCGCAAAGACGACACCAAGGCGGCCGCCCUGCUGCUGCAGAGCGACCACAACGCUGACGUGGAGUCCAAGAUGAUGGUGAAUAGAACAACAGAGAGCGGCUUCACUCCCCUCCACAUCGCGUCUCACUACGGGAACAUCAACGUGGCGACGCUGCUGCUCAACAGAGGAGCAGCCGUGGACUUCAAAGCCAGGAACGACAUCACACCAUUGCACGUAGCAUCCAAGCGCGGGAACAGUAACAUGGUGCGGCUGCUGGUGGAGAGAGGAGCCAAGAUCGACGCGCGGACCAAGGACGGCCUCACGCCGCUCCACUGUGGAGCCCGGAGUGGCCACGAGCAGGUGGUGGAGAUGCUGCUGGACCGAGGAGCUCCCAUCCUGUCCAAGACCAAGAACGGCCUGUCGCCGCUGCACAUGGCCACGCAGGGAGACCACCUGAACUGCGUGCAGCUGCUGCUGCACCACGAGGUGCCCGUGGACGACGUGACCAACGACUACCUGACGGCGCUGCACGUGGCCGCCCACUGCGGACACUACAAGGUGGCGAAGGUCAUAGUGGACAAGAAGGCCAACCCCAACGCCAAGGCGCUGAAUGGUUUCACUCCGCUGCACAUCGCCUGUAAGAAGAACAGAGUCAAGGUGAUGGAGCUGCUUCUGAAGCACGGGGCGUCCAUUCAGGCGGUGACCGAGUCUGGCCUGACUCCGAUCCAUGUCGCAGCCUUCAUGGGACAUGAAAACAUCGUGCACCAGCUCAUCAACCACGGGGCGUCACCAAACACCAGCAACGUGAGGGGGGAGACGGCGCUCCACAUGGCAGCGAGGGCGGGACAGUCCAACGUGGUCCGGUACCUGGUCCAGAACGGAGCUCGGGUUGAUGCCAAGGCCAAGGACGACCAGACUCCGCUGCACAUCUCCAGCCGUCUGGGCAAGCAGGACAUUGUCCAGCAGCUGUUGGCCAGCGGGGCGGACCCCGACGCCGUGACCAGCACCGGCUACACCCCUCUGCACCUGGCGGCCCGGGAGGGCCACCGAGACGUGGCUGCGGCGCUGCUCGACCAGGGCGCUCAUCUGGGCAUCACCACCAAGAAGGGCUUCACUCCUCUGCACGUGGCAGCCAAGUACGGGAAGAUGGAGGUGGCCAACCUGCUGCUGCAGAAGAACGCUGCCCCGGACGCGUCUGGGAAGAGUGGGCUAACUCCACUGCAUGUGGCAGCUCACUACGACAACCAGAAGGUGGCGCUGCUCCUGCUCAACCAGGGAGCCUCUCCUCACGCUGCUGCGAAGAACGGCUACACGCCGCUGCACAUCGCAGCCAAGAAGAACCAGAUGGAGAUCACCACCACGCUGCUGGAGUACGGAGCCUCCACCAACGCGGUGACGCGGCAGGGCAUCACGCCGCUGCACCUCGCGGCCCAGGAGGGCAACGUGGACGUGGUGACGCUGCUGCUGGCGCGAGACGCCCCCAUCAACCCAGGCAACAAGUCUGGUCUGACUCCGCUGCACCUGGCUGCCCAGGAGGAUAAAGUAAACGUCGCUGAGGUUUUAGUGAACCAGGGAGCUACCGUGGACCCCGAGACCAAGCUGGGAUACACGCCCCUCCACGUGGCCUGUCACUAUGGCAACAUCAAGAUGGUCAACUUCCUGCUGAAAAACCAGGCGAAGGUCAACGUCAAGACCAAGAACGGCUACACACCCCUCCAUCAGGCUGCACAGCAGGGACACACACACAUCAUCAACCUGCUGCUACAUCAUGGAGCGUCGCCAAACGAACUCACGGCUAACGGCAACAGCGCCCUGUCCAUCGCCAGGAGGCUCGGCUACAUCUCUGUAGUGGACACGCUCAAGGUGGUCACGGAGGAAACUCUGAUAACGCAGACUGUGACCGAGAAGCACAGGAUGAACGUUCCUGAGACCAUGAACGAGGUGCUGGACAUGUCCGACGACGAAGUCUUUAAAGCCAAUGUCCCAGAAAUGAUCACAGAGGACUAUUUAUCUGAUGUGGACGAAGGUGAUGACGCGAUGACGGGGGACACGGACAAGUAUCUGGCCCCCCAGGACCUGCGGGAGCUGGGGGACGACUCGCUCCCUCAGGAGGGCUACAUGGGCUUCAGCGUCGGCGCCAGAUCACAGAGCCUGCGUUCCUUCAGUUCUGAUAGGUCCAACACGCUGAACCGGAGCUCGUUCACGCGGGACAGCAUGAUGAUCGAGGAGAUUCUAGCGCCAAAUAAGGAAAUGCAUCUCAACGUGGCCAAGGACUUUGACAGCGACUCUCUGCGGAGGUACAGCUGGAACGCCGACGCCCUGGAUAACGUCAACCUGGUCUCCUCACCGAUACACUCUGGGUUCCUGGUCAGCUUCAUGGUGGAUGCCAGGGGCGGCUCCAUGAGGGGGAGUCGCCACAACGGCAUGCGCAUCAUCAUCCCGCCCAGGAAGUGCACGGCACCCACCAGGAUCACCUGUCGACUGGCCAAGAGGCACAAGCUGGCGUCGCCUCCUCCGAUGGUGGAGGGAGAAGGCCUGGCGAGUCGGCUGGUUGAGGUUGGUCCAGCAGGAGCUCAGUUCCUCGGGCCUGUAAUAGUGGAGAUUCCCCACUUUGGCUCCAUGCGGGGCCAGGAGCGAGAGCUGAUCCUACUGCGCAGUGAAAAUGGAGAAACGUGGAAGGAGCAUCUUUACGACUGUAAGACUGAUGAUCUGAAUCAGCUCCUGAAUGGGAUGGAUGAAGAACUAGACACUCCUGAGGAGUUGGAGAGGAAAAGGAUCUGUCGCAUCGUCACAAAGGACUUCCCACAGUACUUUGCUGUAGUAUCUCGCAUCAGACAGGAGACCAAUCAUAUGGGCCCGGAAGGAGGGACUCUGUACAGCCAGAGCGUGCCAUUGGUUCAGGCCUCUUUCCCCGAGGGGGCAUUAACAAAGAAGAUCAAAGUUGGACUACAGGCCCAGCCUGUGCCCGAUGAGACUGUAAAGAAAAUCCUUGGUAACCGGGCAACCUUCAGCCCUAUUGUUACCGUGGAACCCAGGAGGCGGAAGUUCCACAAGCCUAUUACCAUGACGAUCCCAGUCCCACCCCUCUCAGGGGAGGGGCUUACCAAUGGCUACAAAGGAGACUGUACUCCAUGCCUCCGCCUUCUCUGCAGCAUCACAGGUGGGACAUCCCCAGCACAGUGGGAGGACAUCACAGGCACAACCCCUCUUACUUUUGUCAACGACUGUGUCUCCUUCACCACCAACGUUUCUGCCAGGUUCUGGUUAGCAGACUGCCACCAGAUACCAGAGACUGUUGGUCUGGCCACGCAGCUGUACAGGGAGCUGAUCUGCGUACCCUACAUGGCUAAGUUUGUGGUGUUUGCAAAGAUGAACGAUCCGGUGGAGUCCAGUCUGAGGUGCUUCUGUAUGACAGAUGACAAGGUGGAUAAGACCUUGGAGCAGCAGGAGAACUUUGAGGAGGUGGCAAGGAGCAAAGACAUAGAGGUUCUGGAGGGCAGGCCCAUUUUUUUGGAUUGUUAUGGGAACCUGACUCCUCUUACUAAAGCUGGUCAGCAGUUAGUUCUUAACUUCUACGCCUUCAAGGAGAACCGCUUGCCCUUCUGUGUCAAGGUCAGAGAUCCCAGCCAGGAGCCUUGUGGUCGCCUCACUUUCCUCAAAGAGUCUAAAACCACUAAAGGCCUUCCGCAAACUGCCGUGUGCAACCUGAACAUCACACUUCCCGCAGUGAAGAAGGAAAUGGAGUCAGAUGCCGAGGAUGAGACUGAAAAGCCAGAGCGACGUCAUACCUUUGCAUCCCUAGCCUUACGUAAGCGCUACAGCUAUCUGGCCGAGCCUGCACCGAAAACAGCAGUUGAACGAAGCGCAACAACAAGAACACUGCCUGCUGGUUACCCUCACAAACCUGUCUUUCCAACCAGACCUUACCCACCAUGGUCGACUGCUCCUAUUACCGUCCCUGGCCAAACAAGGCCUGUCAGAGUGGGGGGUUCCCUCACAAGUACCGAUUCAUCGGCCGGCAUCACAGCUCCUUCUCCAAUGAAAUCUACCUGGCCCCUGCCCUCCCCAUCACCUGCAUGUCCUGCAACUAUCAAAGCCACCCAGGGAGCACCAGCACUGUCAUCCCCAGUUAAAUCAGUCAGCAACAUAGUGUCCUCAUCCCCCAUCAGGUCUCAUAGGAUGCCUUCACCUAUUAAAACGGUGGUCCAUCAGGGUCAACACCAGGGGUCUGCCAGCCUAGUAUCCUCUGGUAGCCCAUGCAAACCUGCCACAGAUCCAGCAUCUAUAAAAAGUCUUGCUUCACCAUACAUAUCAAGGACUUCCCCACUUCACUCUGUACCAAAUGGUUCUGUGCCAGAGAGGACAUCAACUUCUGUUACUGCUCCAGCAUCACCAAAGGCACCUUACAACAUGUACAAUGCUAAUCUGCCUUUCAAAACAUCACUUGGCUUCACGCUUGGGACUGAGUCAGGGUCACCUAAUCUUUCUUCUGUCAAAAGCCUAUCCAGCCUUUCUUCUAUAAAGACCUCCAUAGAUUCAACACUCUCAUCUCGAGGAGGGAGAUCGUCCCUCUCUUCUCUUUCCUCCACAGGGCAGACAACAAUUGCCUCUUCAGAGCUGUCAAUGAUGAACGGAUCCAUCUCUCCUGUUAAAUAUCCAUCCUCCUCUUCCACACCAUCCUCUCCUUCUUCCCGCCUUCUCUCAGAAAGAAGUAGCAGUCUUCAAGAGAGAAUCCAGGCCACCACUCAGGCAGCAACCUCUGGUGUCAGUGCGGCCAUUAAUGAAGCUAUAGACUCAUACUCUGUCUCAGGGUAUGGCACUCUAAAGUCACUGUCCUCCUCACGCAGAUCUGCAACAACUAGCUCUGCUUACGGUUCUCUAAGAUCUGUAGUUGCCCCUUCCAGUUCAACAGUUUCAUCUAAUACGAUGACUGUACCAGUGUAUUCAUUGGUCAAUGUAAUCCCAGACACUCCUAUCAAACCAGGACCCGGGUCUCUCAAAAUGGCCUUGCCUGAUUCCCCUCGUGCCUCAACCUCAUUGUCUUCUUCUUUGUCUUCCUGUGUUACUGCAUCAAAAAUUAACUCCCAGAUGAAAUCCCCCCCAUUUAUCACACCACCCAUCAUCCGCGCAAGUGCAGCUUCCAAUCAGGAGAUUCUCAAAGAUGUAGCAGAGAUGAAAGAGGAUCUGAUCAGAAUGACCGCUAUCCUACAAACAGAUACACAGACAGCAGCUAAAACUGUCCAAACAUCACUUACUGGAACUCCUAAAGAGUCUAAAUUAGAUGAUGAGGAACCAUUUAGUCUAGUGGAGAAAGUGAAAGAAGAUUUAGUUAAAGUCAGUAAGAUUUUACAAAAAGAUCUCACAAGUGAAAAGAAGGCCGUUGCAGCUAAGGAGGACACCUCAGAGGAGGACUGGGAGGAAUUUUCCAAAGAUGAGAUUGAGGAGGCUCAAAGAAAUACCCUCUCAGACAGUUAUCCUACUUUUGAUGAAAACGCACUUCUUCUCAAACACCACUCUAUGUCAAGCAAAGACUUAGAGUUGGCCAAAGUAGUGGAUUUUUUAACAAAUGACAUUGGCGCUAACUCCCUUUCCAAGUUGGCAGAGAUGAAAUGUAGAUAUGAGGAAGAGGUCAAAUGGGAAGGUGAAGAGAAACAGAAACGUGUUCUGAAACCAUCUAUGUCAAUACAGGAAAACAAACUGAAAAUGCCUCCACCUGUCUCUGGCAUGCUCAGAUCCCCUUCAGAAAAAGAUCUAAGCAAACUUGUGGAGUCAUAUCAGGGGCCAGACACUAUUCUGGAAUCUCCUGAGGACCUGUCUCAUGAGCAGGAUAAGAGUCCCCUGUCAGACAGUGGGUUUGAGACGAGGAGUGAAAAGACACCUUCUGCUCCUCAGAGUGCAGAGAGUACCGGACCCAAACCUCUAUUUACAGAUUCACCCAUCCCUCCAUGUGUAAGUACAACCAGAACUGAAGUAGUCCACUUUAGAAGCUAUGAGCAGCCAGAUGAGCCUUGUGAGCCUCUACUCAUGGAGGAAGCUGCAUCUGCUUUUCCUUCUCUAGAGCCAGACACCGCUUCAACAAGUUCUUCCCAAGCUUUACAGUUGAAAAUGCCAGAAGAAGACAUGAUGAACAAAAGUCUUUGUCUUAAAGAGGAAACCCAUAUUACCACUACUACUAGAAUGGUCUACCACAAGCCCCAGCUGACUGAUGGUGCAGAGAUGCUAGAAGAUGCUAUGUCAGUCAGAGAUAUCAUGAAAGCUUUCCAGUCAGGUAGGGACCCUUCUAAAGAAUUUGCAGGUCUUUUUGAACACAAAGCUAGCCAGGAUUCUAUAAAAGGUGAUGAGCUAACCCCCAGAUUUCUAGACAGAGAUACUAAAUCCAAACCUAAAGUUGAAAGAAUAAUUGAGGUUCACAUAGAAAAGGGGCAUAGCACAGCAGAGCCAACUGAGGUUAUUAUCAGGGAAAGUAAAAAACACCCUGACCUUUAUGUCUACAAAGGUGAUCGUGGAUUUAAAGAACUUACAGAAUAUGAUGAGGCCCAACAGGAAGAAGAGGAGCUUCUUACUGCUGAAGAAUCCCUUCCCUCCUAUUUGGAAACAUCUCGAGUUAACACACCAGUGUCACAGGAGGAAGACAGUCGCCCAAGCUCUGCUCAGCUGAUAGCUGAUGAUUCAUAUAAAGCGUUGAAACUACUAAGCCAGCACUCUAUAGAAUACUGUGAUGAUGAACUUUCCGAGAUCAGAGGCGAGUCAUACAGAUUUGCUGAGAAAAUGCUCUUGUCAGAAAAACUUGAUACAUCACCAGUGUCUCACUCUGACACAGAGAAAGUGGUUUCGGAAGAGACCUUUAGUCAACAGCAAAGUAGCCCAAAAAGAGAAUUUGUUUCUAAGUCAUCGAAAGAUGGGUCUCCUAAAUCUAGUAAAUUCUUGCACAGGGAUGAACCAUCUCAGUUUGAUAAGGUAACUGUUCUCCAUUACUCCACAGAACAGGGUAGCCCCAAGCAUGCAGUUUGGAUGCGUUUCACAGAGGACAAGCAUGACAGGGGCAGGGAUAAGCUCCUUUAUGAGGAUAGAGUGGACCAAACUGUAAAAGAAGCUGAAGAAAAACUCAGUGAGGUAUCACAGUUCUUCCGUGACAAAACAGAAAAGCUCAACGAUGAGCUCCAGUCCCCCGAGAAAAAACCUGUAAGACGAGAGUCAAAGGAACCCAGAUCAUGGCCUAGCUCAGCCUGCAGCUCCCCCGAGAAGACACAGCAAAAGUCUAAGGCAGGAGAAGAGAGACUCAAUAAAAGCAAACUUAGAGAACCUUCAGUUGGUAAAAUGUUUGGCAGCACAACAACGACUGAAAGGAAAACUUCUAGCUUACCAAGCACUCCCCAGAAAAGCAUAAGCUCUGAAAUCAGCAAUGCUAAAAUUAAACAACAAGCUAAGAGCAGUGAAUCAGAACCCUCUUCUCCGGCCCAUGUAAAAUCAACAUCAAAAGUCAGUGCCGUGAGAAUGAAGUUUGAAUCUGAGGCUCGGAAGCAAGCUCAGUCUAGUCCAACCAAAAUUCCACCUCCAGUGCAGCCAAAACCUUCAAUAAAGAAAUUACAGGAAAGCAAACUUCCAGUUUAUCAGUUUCUUGAUGGAAAAACAUCAAAAGUAUCUGAAACAUUGAAAGAGGAGUGCCCAAAAAAGGACACUGAGGUUGAAUGUAGUGCCACAGAUGGCACCAAAAAUAGUUUACGAACAUCGAAAGUCCCAAAACCUACAGGAGGCAGGCUGCCAAAUGUAACUGUCCCAGAGACCUUGUUGCAAAGACAGACUAGUGAAACUGACAAAGCAGCUAAUAAAGGGAUAGAUUUGCAUUCAGUGGAAGAAAUUAUUAAAGGUCAGAAAGAUCAUGACACUACAACACUAUUAGAGAAGGACAAGGAAGCUAAAAAUUCCCAACAAGUUACAAAAAGUGAAUUGGCUUCCAAAGAAGUAUUAGCUGAAGUAUCUAAAAAAGACAGCGAAGAUCCACCUAACAAAAACCUCAGAAAAAAGACAGAAUCUCAAAUUCCCGUAAGAACAUUGUCUUCUACAUUAGAUAAUGAUCUCACAAAGAAACUUGCAAUAACAAAACCCUCACACAUACCUACAUUAUCUAAAAGCAAGUUGCAAACUAGUAUUGAGACAAUCAAAACUAAAACUGAUGAAACUCUAUCUUUUGAAAUUUUAGAUAACGCACCCAAAGACUCAAACUUCAAUCUUACGAGCCCAAUAGAAAUUUUGGAAAAGGUCAUAACCUCACCCACUGCAGUAACAACCAAAGAGAACUUCAAGGGCAUCAAAACGUUGCCUGUUUACGUUGGUGUCCAGGUGGGCAGACAGGCAGAGAGGGAAGCCAAAGGAGCACUGUAUGCCGUCAAACAGAAAUCUAACUCAGCCCUCAGCCCCAUUAGCCCUGAUGAUGACACACUAGAACAGGUUUCUUUCAUCGACAGCUCAGGGAAAAGUCCAAUUACACCAGAGACCCCUAGCUCUGAAGAGGUAAGCUAUGACCUCACGUCCAGGACCCCGGACCCCUUUUUGGGAUUCCUGCCAGGGCAACCCAGUCCCAUUAUGGAGGUAUCUGAGGAUUCAGAGGAAGACCAAGGCAAAAUUUUGACUUUAAAAGAGUCCCUUUCAGAAAAUAGUAAUGUUCACACCACCCGGGCAGACUUUGCUAACGCUAAUAACCAAGAAUCUGUGACAAAUGAUAAUCAGCAGGAAGUAACAAAUACUUUCAGCCACCACGAAUCAACAGCAAAUGACAGACUUGAUCAAAUAACAAGACAGGAGCCGCAGGAAACCUCAAAGGACAAAGGUAUUGCAUAUAUUGAAUUCCCUCCUCCUCCACCUCUAGAUUCAUCUUCUGAAAUUUCCGACCCAGAGAGAAAAGGUUCUUGUGCCUCCUCAGAGACUGAAACAGAAAUGAUGGAAGUGAACUUACAGGAAGAACACGACAAGCAUUUGCUAAUUGAGCCAAUCAUACGCAUCCAACCUCCUUCCCCAGUGCUCCCUGGAACUGAUGAUAGCCAGUCAAAUCCUGAUGAGGCAGAAGAGGAGGAGGAAUCAAUUUUCCAACCAAUUCCAUGUAAGAAAUUUACUUUUAAUUCUCCGGAAGAAGACGAGAAAAAAAAGGAGAAGGAAAAAGUAUCUAAAUCCAAAAAGCAUGAUAAAAAUGGAAACAACAAAGAACCUCACGGUGUGACCAAUGGCUCAAAUGGUUCCAACGGUUCUAAAGGUUCCAAUGGAAAAGGAGAGGACUAUGAGUAUGAACAAAAUGGAAAUGAUCAGUCCAUAACGGACUGUUCAAUAGCCACAACAGCUGAAUUUUCUCAUGACACAGAUGCCACAGAGAUAGACUCUUUAGAUGGAUAUGAACUCCAGGAUGAGGACGAUGGCCUGUGUGAACAGGCAGAUUUACGAUUGUUUGGUCUCUCGGAUAGCCGGAGGGACGUCUGGGCAACAGACACUUUUAGGUCCAAUGACCGCUCAUUUCCCCAGACCAAACUGGAAGUCAUUGAGGAGGAGAAAGCCCCAGAGGAAUGUCAAAAGGAAACCUGCAAAAAGGACACCACCACAAAUGGUGAAAAACCUGAUGUUAAAAGUCAGGAACAAAAACCUUCAGAUAAAGAGGGAUUUUCAGACACUUACUUUAGUUAUAAGUUAGAAGAGGAGUUUAACUCACCUUUUAAGACUGUUGCUACUAAAGGGCUGGAGUUUGACCCGUGGCCCAGCAAAGUUGGAGAAGAAGACGUCAUUGACGUGGGGGGGGCCCAGGGAUGCAACGGUGAGCCUAAACCCUUUGGACUGGCAGUCGAUGACCAGUCUCAGGCCACAACGCCUGACACUACUCCAGCCAGAACACCGACAGACGAUAGCACGCCAACGAGCGAGCCAAACCCAUUUCCCUUCCAUGAAGGGAAGAUGUUUGAGAUGACACGGAGUGGUGCGAUUGACAUGAGCAAGAGGGACAUGGUGGAGGAGAGGCUCCAGUUUUUUCAGAUUGGUGAGCAUUACUACUCUGCUGGCAGAUACAGGGUCAGAGAUUCAGAAGUAGAUGCCUCCUCACAACACACGGAUGAGUUUAUUAGUCAGGAUUCCUCAGAAACCUUAACGGUCCCUCAAGUCUCCAUACAGACUACCACCUUCCAACUUGAAAUACCAAAUCCAACUGGCAGUUGCAGCACAUCCAGGGACUCAACUUUAAAUAAUGAGCCAAAAUUCUCCACAUUUAGGUCAGGGUUCAGCUUGUCAUCUGAUAAAACCUUGUCAAAAAGCAGUAAUAACUGUAUCAUUGAUUGUUCUAAUGAUGUAGACUCAGGGAUAACAGUAGAUAGUUCUUGUUCUGUAACCUCAAACUAUAUAAAUUAUUAUAAUUUCAUUACAUCAGAAAUGACAGAUAAAUGUUUGAAUAAUAUAUCAACAGGCAUUUUAGAUGAUAACAGGCUUUCUUUAAGUGCAGCUGAACUGAGAGACUAUUUGUAUUUGACUUCAGAAAGUAAGGGAACUUCUAACCAAAGCACUGAUUAUUAUUAUGCACCUACAGAAAAGAAUAGCAAUUAUAAUGUAGCAAUAACAAACACAGGAGCCAUAAAGGUCAAGGGACAGAUAUGCAGGUCCAGGUUACCAGUGAACAUGUCCCGACCCAAACUAUGCAAACAAAGUCCCCCCAUAGCAAACAACAAGGCACAAGAAAACAGCAAUAGAUGCAGCACAUAUUCAGUUCAUGUAGUCAAAAAAAGAUUGGACCCUUUUGAGCAUGUGCUUCCUAAAUCUAGAAUUCCAAUCUUGACAUUUUUUCAGUAUCCAUCUCCUUCCCAGGAUCAGAAGCAGGUUAGAAAAAAAUGUGUGGUUAGUGAUGGAUGCAAGCAACAGCAAAGUAAAGGUAGAUCCAGCAAUGAACAAAAACAGGGUUCAAUGAAAACCCUAAGUAGAAAUAGAACAAAUGUGACACAUAGGAAGACCAGACCUAUAAGCAGCCAGGUAGUCAAGCCCAUGGACCGAACCCAGCCCGAGGAGGCUGAUAACGAGUCAGAGAGAAAGGGACUGCUCACUGAGGAUGGAGGGAGCCGCAGCACCAACACUACCAGAAACACUUCCUUGUCAGAGCCACCCAAAGCCUCUAGACCUUCCUGCCCUUCCCGCACCUCUACCUCCACCAGCACCAGCACCACCACAUCAACACCGUCCUCUAGAGGCUUCAGAGGUGAGGUUGAACAGGCCAGCAGUGAGAGGAUGAGGAGGAGCAGGAGGAAGAGUAGGCGAACACUUGGAGGGAAGGAGCAAAAGGAGAAGAAGGAAGGGAGUCAGGUUGAUCAACCAAUCACGGCUCCGGUCACAGAGACUAGCCCUCAGAGUCCCUGUGAGAGGACGGACCUCCGCAUCGCAAUAGUGGCUGACCACCUUGGACUCAGUUGGACUGAGCUGGCCAGGGAGCUGGAUUUCUCUGUGGAAGAGAUCAACUUCAUCAGAGUGGAGAACCCCAAUUCACUGACAGCACAGAGCUUCAUGUUCCUAAAGAAAUGGGUGCACAGGGAUGGUAAAAAUGCCACAACGGAUGCUUUAACUGCGGUGCUGACUAAGAUCAAUCGCUUGGAUAUUGUGACUUUGCUGGAAGGGCCCAUAUUUGACUACGGUAACAUUUCAGGCACACGCUGCUUUGCCGAUGAUAACGCAGUAUUCCCGGAUCAGUCCGAUGGAUACGACAAUAUAGAACUGGAGCUGCAGACCCCCACGGGCCUGACCUACGUGCCCCCUACCCCACUGCGUUCAGAUGACUUCUUUAGCGAGGGAGAUGCUAGCAUAGGCUCCCCUAAGGCCGCGCUUGCUAGACCUAGCGACCUCUCGCUCACUCAGACCACCAGUACCUCCAGCAGUGACCCCCUCACGGUGGCCCCAGGCCCCGGCUCCUCCACCCUAGCGCCCACCCUAGCUGGAGCUGAAGAUACGACCUUGGUUUCCUAUGCGGGGCCAGAUAACGACAGGAGGGCAGUAGAGAAAUCUGGAAAGGAGGCUAAAGAACUGAAGGCAGGGCAAGAGGCUGUUUUGCAGAAAAUCCAAAGGGAAGACGAAGCCUUAGACGUCAGUCGCGGAAAUGGAAAGGAGGAGGAGGAGGAGGAUGAGAUGACCCAGGAGAGGCUGCAGAGUCUGCUGGACGAUCUAAAGCUGGAGGGAGGCUUGGAGGACGAGGAGAUGACGGAGGAGAGGGUGAACGCCAUCCUCGAACAAGUACGGCAAGCAGAAAAAGUCGUGUGUUCGCUUCCAGGGUGGAGGAGUGACACAUCGGGCGCGAUCGGAGGGUCUCCAGUCCCCGGCCACGAGCCUGGCGCCGAGGAGGGCAGCCCCGACAGUCUAGCUGAUUCACUGGAGCAGCAGAAUGGAGGUCAGACGGAUGCCGCCAGGGAAGGAAAGGAAAAGGAGGCGAAGAGGAAGGGGUCUCAGGAGGACAGCAGCACAGCGGGGCCGAGCAAAGAACGGGAGCAGGGAGGCGACAGGUCCCAGCACAAAGUCCAGGGAGAGGAGGCCAAAAACAUUCCCGGAGAGUCUGUUACUGAGGAGCAGUUUACAGAUGAAGACGGGAAUCUGGUCACCAGAAAAGUGAUCAGAAAGGUGGUGCGCCGUGUGGUGAACUCGGACGAAAGGAGAGAAAGUGAAGGCGAAUCUGUUGCGGGAGCUGCGUCUCCGGCGAAGGCGGCAGCGGGGGGGAAGGGCAAGAGGAGGGGGAAGCGCAGCCGGCAGGGCCCCAAGGCCGAGAGGCCCCGAGAGGAGGCCCAGGGAGAGAGAGCCGAGCCUGGAGACGGUGCCAACAAGAGACAAGGGAAGAAGAGUCAGUCAUAACAGCACCGCUCUUCACUACACCUGCCAGCAGAAGAACAGCUUAUUAGGGGAAAACGCACCUGAAUCCGAACUUAAACCUCCUGCAGUGAUACUAAUCUGGCAGCAUCCCCUUACCUCAUUUUCAGGGGCCAGGGUUGUGUACCCACAGACGCUCAUCUGUGACACCACACCAAACCUGGGAGGAAGAGGAAAAACAUCUGGAGGCCACACUCGACCAGCCUACACGCGUCCGACGCUUCUACUCGCAGCGCAUGGUUUGCAGCGAGGCGAUGACAAGCAAGGUUUCUUUCUUUUGAUUUCGCAUGAGCAUGUCACCAAACCCACCAGGAACGACGAGCCGGGGACACGCGUGGAGGCGAGCUGGAGCUUCCUGAUCUUUGGACGAGACCAAAGACUCACGAUGGCUUGUGAAUCACUUUCUCUCAGACACUCGCCUUAUACGGUCUAUCUUUCUCCUUCUGGACACACAGUAUUGAGGUGUACCGUGUGGCUCUUUAUUAAUUUUUUUAAAGAAAUAUAAUAAUAAAAGGGUGAUUUUGUUGUAUAUAAAUGAAAUAUAAAUGGAAAUCAGCAGCUUCACAGAUUGUUUAUGCACUGAUUUGACUUGAUGAAGCCUUGCAGAGUCGGUGCAUUUGCUCUUGAGAGGUCAACACUGUUUGCGCAGCCUUGGGUGUUUGACCUGACGUGCUCUUCCUACAUGAAUAUAAAACAGAACAAAAAAUGAAAAGCUGUAUGUAAAUGAGAAUCGAAUGAGAGGAGAAACUGCUUGAUUUGAAACGAAUGGACAUUUCUUUAGCGCAAACAUCUACUACCGCUCCGUCUGUGGAACACUGUCUUCAGAAAUUAUAUUUUGCUGCAUGUGACGUCUCUUUUAACGCUUUCUUUUACUUUCCUCCUAAUUCAAAACACUGCAAUACGAUUAGCGGGGGUUUAAUGGUACUUCUGCCUGUGUGAACACUCGUCAUAGCCUACACGUGCCGUUUAUGACUCUUUCUGAUCUUAACAAAUGAAAACACUCCACGCUGGAGCAGUGGGACUACAAAGCCUCGUUUCUUCGCUUUGUGGACGGUACCGACGGUGUCCCAGGAUGUCACCUGAAGGCGAGACAUUACCUCCCAACAGCUAAAGCCAAUAGGAAACUGUGUCUGUCUGACUGUACGCGCAUCAUGCAUACUGGAGGUUUAGGUUUAGCCUUGUGGGUCUGCUGUGGUUUUAACAAGGGGGCAGUUUUUAUUGAUGCUUUGAGGAAUUUUAGUUAUAUUUUCAUGAGAACAGAGGAUCUCACUUUUAGCCCAGUUAGUUAAACCUUUCUACCAACAGCAUAAACUCACAACAAUUAAUCACAACGUUUGAUCACUAGUAAAAAAAUCUGAUUUUCUGUUCCUGUGUUUUGGUUUUUCUAUGUUUUGCUUUUUUUCAUACAAACACCACAAGCACCUAUUGCUGAUGAUAAAUCUGGUACCGACAUGUAUGACGAACCACCAUAGCCUACACUGGAUGAUCCUAGUAAUUAUUUAAGCAGAAAAAUAAAUUGUGUUUAAACUGAAA